rnacentral:rRNA from 1 species
AUGUUUGACGGAGUUGAGCGGAUGCUUCGGGGAGUCAGGCAUGUGCCGGGGCUAAGGAGGAAUCUAAUUUAGUUUGGAGUUCUUCAUGAUUGUGGUAUGAUAUUUCGUUGUGAUCGGAAUGAGAAGACCAUGAAAAUCAUGAAAGAUGAGGUGACCGUGAUGAUUGGAGCGAGGACGGCUUCGCAUCUUUACAAGUUGCAAGGAGCACUAUUACAGGUGGAGUCACGAAGACUAGAGUUGCGGGAGUAG